CCCCAUGUGGUCUAGUGGUUAGGAUUCCAGGCUUUCAUCCAGGCGGCCAGGGUUUGAUUCCCGGCGUGGGAU